UAGCGAUUCAUCUUGAGAUAUGGAGAAGUGUCAAUGGCAUCUGUCUGUUAAGUAGUUAAAUACUAAUGAUACAAAACAUGAACGCUGCGUUGUACACGAUGUUGUGGCUCUUACGAAAUUGACUCCGAAAAUAGGGCCAGGGACCAUGGAGUGCAUAAAAACGAUUCGAAGACUGUGAGAACGUCCUGUUAUUACAUCCUAAUCUAUUUGUAGGCAUUUUGGAGAAAUAAAUGAUUUAACGAUU